rnacentral:rRNA from 1 species
AGAGUUUGAUCCUGGCUCAGGACGAACGCUGGCGGCGUGCUUAACACAUGCAAGUCGUACGGUAAGGCCCUUUCGGGGGUACACGAGUGGCGAACGGGUGAGUAACACGUGAGUAACCUGCCCACAACUUUGGGAUAACGCUAGGAAACUGGUGCUAAUACUGGAUAUGUGCUCCUGCUGCAUGGUGGGGGUUGGAAAGCUCCGGCGGUUGUGGAUGGACUCGCGGCCUAUCAGCUUGUUGGUGGGGUAGUGGCCUACCAAGGCGGCGACGGGUAGCCGGCCUGAGAGGGUGACCGGCCACAUUGGGACUGAGAUACGGCCCAGACUCCUACGGGAGGCAGCAGUGGGGAAUAUUGCACAAUGGGCGCAAGCCUGAUGCAGCAACGCCGCGUGCGGGAUGACGGCCUUCGGGUUGUAAACCGCUUUCAGCAGGGACGAAGCUUUUUGUGACGGUACCUGCAGAAGAAGCACCGGCUAACUACGUG